rnacentral:rRNA from 1 species
UACGUAGGCAGCAAGCGUUGUUCGGAAUUACUGGGCGUAAAGGGUGCGUAGGCGGCUUUUUAAGUUUGGUGUGAAAUCUCCCGGCUCAACUGGGAGGGUGCGCCGAAUACUGAGAAGCUAGAGUGUGGGAGAGGAAAGUGGAAUUCCUGGUGUAGCGGUGAAAUGCGCAGAUAUCAGGAGGAACACCGGUGGCGAAGGCGGGUCUCUGGGCAAUAACUGACGCUGGAGGAGCGAAAGCGUGGGGAGCGAACAGG